rnacentral:rRNA from 1 species
AUACGUAGGGGGCGGGCGUUGUCCGGAAUGAUUGGGCGUAAAGGGCGCGUAGGCGGCCCGGUAAGUCUGGAGUGAAAGUCCUGUUUUUAAGAUGGGAAUUGCUUUGGAUACUGUCGGGCUUGAGUGCAGGAGAGGUAAGUGGAAUUCCCAGUGUAGCGGUGAAAUGCGUAGAGAUUGGGAGGAACACCAGUGGCGAAGGCGACUUACUGGACUGUAACUGACGCUGAGGCGCGAAAGUGUGGGGAGCAAACAGGAUUAGAUACCCUGGUAGUCCACACUGUAAACGAUGAAUGCUAGGUGUAGGGGGUAUCGACCCCUUCUGUGCCGCAGUCAACACAAUAAGCAUUCCGCCUGGGGAGUACGGCCGCAAGGUUGAAACUCAAAGGAAUUGACGGGG